rnacentral:rRNA from 1 species
AUUGAACGCUGGCGGCAGGCCUAACACAUGCAAGUCGAGCGAGCGGCGGACGGGUGAGUAAUGUCUGGGAAACUGCCUGAUGGAGGGGGAUAACUACUGGAAACGGUAGCUAAUACCGCAUACCAUCAGAUGUGCCCAGAGGGGAUGAGCUAGUAGGUGGGGUAACGGCUCACGUAGGCGACGAUCCCUAGCUGUGCUGAGAGGAUGAACAGCAACACUGGCACUGAGACACGGGCCAGACUCUUACUGGAGGCAGCAGUGGGGAAUAUUGCACAAGGGGCGCAAGCCUGAUGCAGCCAUGCCGCGUGUGUGAAGAAGGCCUUCGGGUUGUAAAGCACUUUCAGCGGGGAGGCGUUACCCGCAGAAGAAGCACCGGCUAACUCCGUGCCAGCCGCCGCGGUAAUAC